rnacentral:rRNA from 1 species
UACGUAGGGGGCAAGCGUUGUCCGGAAUCAUUGGGCGUAAAGCGCGUGUAGGCGGCUCGGUAAGUCCGCUCUGAAAGUCCAAGGCUCAACCUUGGGAUGCGGGUGGAUACUGCCGGGCUCGAGUCCGGGAGAGGUGAGUGGAAUUCCCAGUGUAGCGGUGAAAUGACGCAGAUAUCAGGAGGAACACCGAUGGCGAAGGCAGGUCUCUGGGCCACUACUGACGCUGAGAAGCGAAAGCGUGGGGAGCGAACAGG